rnacentral:rRNA from 1 species
UACGUAGGGUGCGAGCGUUGUCCGGAAUUAUUGGGCGUAAAGGGCUCGUAGGCGGCCAACUAGGUCAUACGUGAAAUCCCUCAGCUUAACUGGGGAACUGCGUGUGAUACUGGAUGGCUUGGAUGUGGGAGAGGGAUGCGGAAUUCCAGGUGUAGCGGUGAAAUGCGUAGAUAUCUGGAGGAACACCGGUGGCGAAGGCGGCAUCCUGGACCAUUAUUGACGCUGAGGAGCGAAAGCCAGGGGAGCAAACGGG